UCAAGUGUCAUAGUAAUCCCUUGGGUGAGAAUAAAAGGGUUAUGAGCAAUGUCCUGAAAAAUAUCUUAAAGUGGAUACUCAAAAUUGUAUUGUGCCUUCUUUUGCAGAGUGAGGACAUUGACCUCAAGAGGGAGUGUGUCCUCUGUGUGUCUCCCUCAAUGAGGACAGCAACACUCUCAUCAAGGAGUACUUGGACGUCAACAGUGAGGAAGCUGAGCGAGAGAUAGCGCAGACCACCAUGGGCCUUUACAGGAUUAUCAAAGAAGGUGCUGAUAAAGAGGACGAGCCAAAGGACUUUGGAGUGGUGAUCGAAGGUGUGGAGCUGCUAUGCAAUCUGAGAGGCGUUGCCUUUGGACGUGCCAUGCUCUUUGGCCUAAUUUACACUCUCAACCUGAGCUAUCCCCGAGAACUCAAAUUCACUUUUGAGUUCAUCCAGAAAGUGUUGAUGAACUUGAAUGGAAAGAAGUUGUCCCCAAAGGUCCAAACACUUAAAAUCAAGAUGCUUCAAUGAGCUCACAUGGUCAGCACUGGAGAGUUGAGCUAGCCACAUUUUGGCGUGUUGGACAUUGAUAUAUUGACCUGGUAAGACUGUAAAGAAGCUAGUGACUUACUAGUUUGUGGUACUGUUGUCAGGUUCACUGGAAAAGCUGUUAUGUGUUCUAAUUGUUGCAUUACCCAGGUUUAUCAAUACUGGUAUUGUUAAUAUUAAUCUGAUUUAUUGAAGGGACCGUAAUGUCUAGGUUCCGGCAAAGCACCAGAAGAGACGGCACUUUGCCUGUGUGGAGAGAGAGAUAUUGUGUCUGCAGCUCAAGGAUAGCUACACGCCUGACAGUAUUCAACAUUCACACUUGUUAUCAGUAUUUACACAUACCAAGAGGGGCACACGGCCAACAGACAGCCCCCACCCGGGGGUACGAGGGAUGGGAUAUGCACCUGUGACGAGAUCUGGGUAUAAAAGAUGGAAUCUUGAUGUGCUAAAGGAGAAGUGUGGUUUUCGGGCUUCAACUUGCAUGUUGAGGAGAGCUCCCCGUGGUUUGUACUUUGCUUUUGAUCAGUGAAUAAACGUCUCCCUAAUGGAGAGAACUACA